GAUGAAGAACGUAGCGAAAUGCGAUAAGUAGUGUGAAUUGCAGAAUUCAGUGAAUCAUCUAAUCUUUGAACGCACAUUGCGCCCCUUGGUAUUCCAUGGGGCAUGCCUGUUCGAGCGUCAUUUGUACCUUCAAGCUCUGCUUGGUGUUGGGUGUUUGUCUCGCCUCUGCGUGUAGACUCGCCUUAAAACAAUUGGCAGCCGGCGUAUUGAUUUCGGAGCGCAGUACAUCUCGCGCUUUGCACUCAUAACGACGACGUCCAAAAGUACAUUUUUACACUCUUGACCUCGGAUCAGGUAGGGAUACCCGCUGAACUUAAGCAUAUCAAUAAGCGGAGGA
rnacentral:misc_RNA from 1 species